UGCGUAGGCGGACCUAUAAGUCAGAAGUGAAAUCUUGCCGCUUAACGGUAAAACUGCUUUUGAAACUGUAGGUCUUGAAUUUAGGAGAGGUAGGCGGAAUGAGUAAUGUAGCGGUGAAAUGCAUAGAUAUUACUCAGAACACCAAUUGCGAAGGCAGCUUACUAUACUAACAUUGACGCUGAGGCACGAAAGCGUGGGGAGCGAACAGGAUUAGAUACCCUGGUAGUCC
rnacentral:rRNA from 1 species